CUUUUUCACCGUUUUUAAGCCUUACAAACUCAUUUCUCUUCCACUUUAAUUCUUCAUGAAACAUUUCAAUGUUACCCACGUUUUCAUUCAUUUUAUCCUUCAAACAAUCCAUUAAAUAACACGCGAUACUUUAGAAUUUUGAGUUUUGAACAUAAAAUUAAUAUGUCGACAAAAAAUUUCAAACUGAGAGUUCUUGUUUUACACUUCAUUUUCGUUUUUGUUUCUUUAAAUUUGAGAAUGUAAAGGCAAGAUAACUUGUAGAAUAAUUAAGAAUUAAGAUUCCUUUUAGCCAUUAGUUAACUAAUUUUGCAAUAGAGUUAGCGUUAUAACAAAAAGAAAAAGUAGUUUGGUGGAGAAGAAAAGUAAGAGUGAAUUAUGUCUAUGUGUUUGAAGCUUAUCUCAUAUAUUUCUUUUUUCUUUUUAAUCUUUUUUUGUUCUCUGACUUUGUUAAGGUUAUUAGGCAAAAUAUGUGUUAUAUUUUUUAAGAUAAGGUUGUUUGGUUGUAUAAUUCAUAUUGUAAUGUAAGGCAAAAGCAAUCUUGCUAUUUGGGAAAUGGAAAACAAAGGUAACUCUAUCACAUCAAGGAAUUGCUUCUUCUCAUGACAAAUUGACAUAGAUUUUGCAGCAAUGUUCAUCCCUAAAAGUUGCGGCUUUGGACACGUCAAUUGAUGACUUUUGGAUAUGUUGUUAUUCCAUCAACCAAAAAAGUAAGUAAGGACAAACUUUUGAUUUGAAAAACAUCCCCUUUUAACUUUGGAAUAUGUUGGAGAACAUUGGUAAUGCUUCUUCAUAGACUCCCAUUUUUGGGGUAAAUUAAUAGGAUUAGAAUAGGACUAUACAUUCAUGUAUAUGCACCUUCAUAGUUCCUUCAUUCAUGAUCUGAUCUCUACAUUUGUUUGAUACUCCCACAUUUUGAGAUUCUUAUGUAUUAUUAAAGUUUUAGCAUAGUGUAUUGAGUUGUAACCUUUUACCCUUUAACUUUCUAUUUAUAAUCUAUUCAGAGUAAGUUUGAAUUUGUAAUUGGGUAAUGGUACUUGUUUUUUAAUAAAUUUUCCAAGCAACUGAAAAAUA